AGGAAGCAAGGCUGUGGUCCUCCUGGUCUGAGACAUCUGGAGUGUCUCGGUCUCCCGGCACUGCCUACAGUCGCCCCCUAUCAGACCACGGCUCAUCUGCACGCCGGGUGGAACAGCAGGUAGGAAACUUUCCAUUCUUGUGCUAGGGAACUGUGACCCUGAGAAGCCCUGGACACUAGUCUGGUUCUGGUGACACUGGCUGUGUGAAAGAAUGUGAAAUCAGAGCUCUAUUCCAUCUUGGAGUCCCCUAGGGUGUAUUUUACAAAACUGGGACAUUUUCAGCUAGGCUCCUAUGUAAAGGAAGAAAAUGUUAUUUUAUUGUAACACUGCUUAGCCCCAGUAUUUCUUGGGGUCCAGGGAGAAAUGGCCCCAGUAGCUCUCUAAAUCACACCACCAUAUUUCAUCUAAAACUGGGGAAGGUAAAUGGUAUGAAAUUCUUUAGCCUUUAUGCUAUUGAAUCAAAGUGAGCCUUUUGGAAUGGGUUUGGCUCUUAUCUUGGGUAGGUAUGUGUUUGUGUCUUGGUGCAUGAGUCCAAACCCUGUUUUCUCUUCCUGGUUUUGAACCCUGUUAGGGGUCCUGGUUUUGGGGGAGACCCCACUGGUAGGAGGGAAACUGAAAGGAUUAAUUGUUCUCAGAGACCGUCCUGGUAUUGACCCUCGUUACAGGGCCCUGGUAACCUGAACGUGGUGUAGACACUCGUAGAAACUGCUUAGUUUGCUCUUCAGCCUGAUUUAGAGCCACCUACAAGUUUGUCCGGAAGUGAGCUGUGUGAAUGUGAGUGAAUGAUAUGCACUAUUGUGUUAUUUAAACUGAAUUGGCUAUUUGGGUACUGAAGGAACUCUCACCUUGAAAAUGGCCAAAAUGGGGCUCUCUUGAUGUUCUAAAAGACUGGUUGCUGCAUAUGCAGUGAGAGGAAGCUGGCUUCCUAAGAGGAACUUGCUUUACUCUCCCUGUGCCUUUGAGAUACAGAUGUUCUGACAAUCUCCAGUUCCUGAGACUGAAGCGAAAAAAGGGAAGGAGAGUUUUAACUCAAGCAGGAAAACUGAGAUCUGUGUCUAUAUGGGUGUCUGUGUAUGUUAUAGAGAUAUGUCUUUACCUCCAGAUGCUAUCAAAAUUAAUUUGUAAAUGAGCUCUAUGUAAUUGGCUUAAAGGAAAUUAAAUGCUUAUCUAAAUUCUCAGAAAUAUAAAAGUAACUAACCCAAAUGAAUUUCAGGUUCACAUGAUCUGGGAAAUAUUCAGUAUUAAAUAUCUGGUGUUAAAGUUUAAGCUUGUUGAUGCCUGAAGACAGAGAUGCCUUCAGAGGCAUGAACUAUAAUUUUUAUUGUAUUUAGGAAAGUUAGUAAGAUCUUAUUAAUCCUGUUACAGAAUCGUCACAAGGAAAAUAACUUGAUACAAUGGAACUUUUAAGUAAGUUAAAUGUAAAUAAGAAGAGUUCUGGGAGUUGAACUUUGGGAAUAACUAUGUUUUAGAAAAUCUACUUAAAAAUAGUCUCUCUAGAUUUUGGCAAUUUGAAACUUUAGAGUUUUGCUAAAUUAAUUGCUAAAUGAGUCUAAGUUUACCCACUUUUGUCUUAUGAGAGAAAACCUAAACACGUUUGGGUUUGGGUUUUUUAGACACACGUCUUAUACCACAUUGAGGAAAGAAAUUAUGCUAUGAGAAGAUGUAUGUUUCUGGAGGCUGUAAAACAUAUUCAUAAGUUUUCCAAUCAGGAAACGGUGGUAUGAUCACAAAUGCUUCUUUGUUUUUGCCAGAGAUUACAGUUUCUAACGGUUAAAAGUUGUAAUAUAUGUAAAGCUACUAAAAUAAGGGAAACAUUUCAGUAUAUAAGAAAAGUAGGAUGUUUGUUUUCAUUAAAAGAAGGUAAGAGGAGUGAAAAUGCAUUUUGUUAAGGGGAAAAGUAAUUUGGUCCUAAAGCUGGUUAUUUCUAAAUAGGAAAGAAAAUAAGGGACAAGCUAAUAUGGAAAAAAAGGUGUGACAGGUUAAAAAAAAGGAACCCGGAACCCCAAAGCAUCUGAGAGAGACUAAACUAAGAUUGCUCGGUAUGUUUAAUUACAUGGGAAGCAUUCUCAAAUGAGUGUUAAGCCUCCUUAGGUUAUACUGUAUGGGUAAAUGUUAUUAAUAUAUUCUAGAAAUUAUAUGGAAUUCUGAAAAAUCUGGUGGUUGAUAAUAUAUCAUAAUUCUAGUUUUGUUAAUUGAGGUCUAUUUACUAAGACUCACCUCCCAGGUAGCUCAUUAUGUUACAUAAUUUAUUUUAUAUUGGAGUAUAUAGUUGAUUAACAAGGUUGUUAGUCUCAGGUGUACAGCAAAGUGAUACAGUUAUACAUAUACAUGUAUCUAUUCUCAUUUAAAUUCUUUUCCCAUUUAGGUUGUUACAUAAUAUUGAGCAGAGUUCCCUGUGCUAUGCAGUAGGUCCUUGUUGGUUAUCCAUUUUAUAUAUAGUAGCGUGUACAUGUUAAUCCCAAACUCCUUAACUAUCCCAGCUAUGUUACAUAAUUGUCAAGUUUAAUUGAAUUAUUAAAGGACACUCAAGUUUGUUUCUGAAGCUUAUCACAGCAGUCUCUCUUUGGAUAAAGAUCAUACAUACUGGAAAAGGCAUCAUUGAAAGGACUGUCUCCAACCUAGAUGGAAGGACUCUUACGAGGCUAGGCCACUGUGAAGCACUCGUGUCAACCGCACCAGACUGCUGCUGACUGAAGAAAAACGCACAACCUUCAGUUUGUGGGGGCCUUACUGAAGACUAUGUAGUCUGUCAGGCCUGAGAGGCUACGGAGGAGCCAGGGUACGUAGGAGUUUUUUGCUUGAAAUAGGAAAUGCUGAACAAAGAUUCCUGCUAACCACAAAAACAGGCAUCUCAGGUUAAUGCUUUUAGUGCUUUUCUAUGCAUGAGAAGAUGCAAGUCUGGGCUCAGUGAAAAUAUCCUUCAGGUGUGCGUAUCAGGUGUGAUCUUAACUGAGGCCAGUAUCCAGAGCACAGAAGGUGGCCUGUUACCCUCCAUUCAUGGCCAGUUUGUCCCACGGUGCUGGGAAAUCUCAUUUCGUAGGUCAGAUGAGGACUUGAGAGGCCAAUGUAGUAUUUUUGGAUUAGGCCCUGUUGACUAAAAUUCUCUGGAUCACCGGUCUUAACUAAUCUGUUAUGAUCCGGGAAGUGUUUUUCCUUGUUUCUUCUCAUAUCUAGAGUUGCACCAUUCCAGUUAUUCAGUAUAGAGUCAUAUAUGUGACUGACUGCCUCAAGAUUUUAGCCCUCAUUAAUUUUGUCAAAGGCCUGGUUACACAUUGGGUAAUACAAGAGACAACGAUCUUAUAAAACAGACAGGAUAUCAUACAGGUAGUAACAUUAAUAAAGUCAUAAGCAGGGAAUUAAGCCAUGAGGUUCCAGAACCAAACCAGCUCCCUACAACCAUCACCAAGACUAGGAAGUGAAUCACUUAAGGCAGAAAUCUGGUUUUUCAUGUGGUCAUUAAAUGCAUCCUAGUAGAGGAUUUGUCUGGUAUGAAAACACAGCAUUCGGUUUGAAUUAUAGCACAGGUGCCUCCUUGAGAUGCUAUAAGGCUAUUAAGGGCCAUGUGAUUCUGUAAUACCACUUUUCUCAUCAUAGAGGCAGCCUCAAUGAUUAAUCAUUUAGGGGCUUUUGGGUGAAUUCUGUUAAGGCUUUGAUAUGGGGAGGUACAUCUUCCAAUCCUACUUUGAUAUGGGGAGGUACAUCUUCCAAUCCUACUUUGAUAUGGGGAGGUACAUCUUCCAAUCCUACUAAUAGCAUAAAAAUAGAUGCUACAUGAUCAUACCAGGGGAAUACAGAUCUCUUGGUAAAUUUGCUGGAGUCAUCUCUAAAUUAGCACACAAGUGGCCUUGAGCCCUAGGGAAUCCUAAAGUACAUCUUCCCAUCCAUCCUGGAAGAAGCCAGGGAUGUAGAUUAGUGCCACAAAACCACUGAGUUCCAUUAGGUGCAACCCAGCAUACUCCUGGGUGCCUGACCCAGUCUGUUCCAUAUCAAUCACUAUCUUUAAGGGAAAUGAUGAUACACUGACAUUUUUCAUUAAGGCACCCAGCCUAAUUUUCUGGUGUUAUUAGGCUGAAUAUCUUUAGUGUGAUUUAAUUGUUCCCAACAUAGGGGGGCGCCUUAAGGGACCACAGCCUGGUAUUAGCCAUAUAAACCUAUCCCAUAACUGAGGGGGGGGUCCCUCCUAAUAGUCAGGAAGUUAUCAUUUUUGACUGAAAUUUAGCUUGUUGCUCUGACUGAGCUUGAGUAACUUUAAGGGAAAACUCAUUUAUGGCCAAAGUCAAAGCAAGAAUGUUUGACUGGCCAAGUGAGGGGUUCCCAUAGGAGCAUCAGUUGCAGCUCAGACAGAACUACUUUUUUCUAAAAUUUUCUACAGGCCAUCCAAUCAGAGCCUUGGAGAGGAGAAACCCACUAACCAGAAGUAGUGGAUGUAGGUAACUGACCACAAACCCAACAAUUGCAAUGACUUCUAAAAUCUGCAUAGGAUCGUACCCAUGACAGAAAAACAUUUGAUUCAUGUGCAUAAAGGCCAAGAAAUCAAAAAAUGUUAUAAAUAAUCAUACGGUCAGGUCCAGCACCUUGGGAUAGCUGUCUCCUGAUGUCGUCAACUUCUCGUCCUGGCGUUGGUGUUUCUUUCCUAUCAGAGCAUCGCUUUAAGGUGAGUUUGAGGUCAGCAGUCCUCUCUAUAGACCAGACCAGUGCCUCUUUAGGUGGGAAAUAUGAAUCCAAGAGUCAGUUACCUUCGAUUUUGCUGUGCAUGAGCUACUUAAAAGAACCUGAUAGGGACUUUCCAUCGAGGUUGGAGAGAGUCCUUUAAAUGAUGCCUUUUCCAGUAUACAGAGUCUCCUGGUUGUAGGUCAUAGGGCAUCUGAUCAUCAUUUAAAGAAAGCAUACUGUGAUAAGUUAUGCUUUAACUUAUACAUUAACACUUAUAUGCAUUAAGUGUUAAUGCAUUAACUUAUGCAUUAACACUUAUAAUGUCCUGUUAAUUCAAUCAAACCCUUGCAAUAACGUAACCUAUCCCUUUUCAUUACUAUAGGUUCAUAUAAUCCCUCAUCCAGUCUCACUGGUCUCCCCCUGAUAAUCUCAAAAGGAAACAAAUGUUUUCCAAAACAGGUGGAUCUGAGGUUGAGGAGAACCAAUGGAAGGGCCUCAGGCCAGGUAAGGAAUAAGCAUUCAUCAUCUUAGCCAGUUGGGUUUUAAUUGUUCCAUUUGUUCUUUCUACUAACCCAGAGGACUGGUGGUGAUAAGCAUAAUGGAAAUGCUGCAUAAUUGGCCAAAUCUUAACAAUUUGUCCAGUGAAAUGAGUUCCUCUGUCACUAUGUGGUUCUGAGGGGACUCCCGAAAUGGGCAUCACUCUUGGUAAAAUAAAAUGUCCUACAGAUUGGGCUGUGGCCCUUCAGCAUGGGAUGCCUCAACCCAGUGUGAAAACAUACAAAUCAUAACAAGAACAUACUGCUAACCUUGAGAGGGGGGCGUCGACCUUGAGAGGGGGGCGUCGUAUAAAAUCAGUCUGCCAAGUCGCAACGGGACCUGCAGGUCGUGGCAAAUUCCCUUGAGAACUAUGUAACGGCUUCCCUGGCUUAUAUUUUGGACAAGUGGUACAUCUUGAAUAAUUCCCGAGCUCUCACAAAAGCCUUCCAACAGUUUUUUACCCCACAAUACCGUCUACCUGGGUUCCAGUGUGUUAACUCGUGAAUAUAUUGCAAAAUAGGAUACUGAGCUUCAAAGGGAAGGAUAGGCCUCCCGUCUGCGUGUAUCCACAGCCUUCGUGUGAGUUCAGGCUGCCUCCCUUGUGUGUCCAGGUGUCUGUUUUCUGGUGCCGUUCCUUGAAACUGGACCAUGUCAGUAAGGUUGCUGGGAGGCUGAAAGGGAAAGGCAGUGGUUAGUUGCUUGUUUUCGUUUUGCAGAGCCUCAGUCUUGGCAACGUGAUCAGCUAAAGAGUUUCCUUUUGCUUCAGCAGUGUCAGCCUUUGAAUGAUACCUUAAUGGCAAGUGCACCUGGCAGCAGAAUGGCAUCCAACAAGCCUGCUACAUGUUUACCAUUUUUAAUAGGCUGUCCUCGGGAUGUUAGAAAUCCUGUUGCCAAAGCAUACCCAAGUCAUGGUCCCCCCCAGAAGCAUGGCGGCCGUCUGUGUAGGUAUUCGCGGGCUUUCCUUUUGCCAACGGGCAGGCUCUCGGUGCUAUUAGUUCAGCCUGUUGGACAGAAGCGACAUGAGACAAGGGACCAUUUUCUAGGACAGACACUGGAGGAACAAUGGCAUAGCCAGCCUGGCACCUCCCAUGAGGUCCUCGCAGAUACACACCACCCAUGAGUAACAAAGUCAGGAUUAUCCAUUGGGCUUUCUUGAAAAUCAGUCCUGGGAUAGAAAAGAUAACGUCUGAGUCUUCUGGGAGCAAGGUAGCUGGAUUAAGUUUGUCACACCUGUGGGGAGAGAUUUGGUGAGAGCGAGACAAUCUCAUUAGAAGUUAAUCGGCCUGAAUAAGUGUGUGAUGAGAGUUUAGUAAAGCUUCCGUGGCAUGGGGCACAAAGACGGUGAGAGUGACUCAGGACGCAGCACAGCUGUUGCUGAGACAGCCCCGGGACAAGGGCGGGGGAAGCCCUUGUCUACUGCAGCUAGCUGCUGGCUGUAUAUCCUAUCGGUGGGUAGUAACCGCCGUGUUGCUGGGUUAAUACUCCGUGUGGCACCUUUGUUUUCAUGUACAAAGAGAAAAAGGGGUAAAUCAUAAAAAGCUGGGUUCUUUUCAGUGUCUCCCUGGCUUCAGAAUGUUUUAUUUCCCAGAGGUUCAGCUUGGCCUUGUUUAAACAAGUUACAUAAUGGUUGGGCCACUAAAAUAAAAACUUUGUAAUCCAGUUCCUGCAAUAGCCUGCAGGAUCUAGAAACCCCUCGAAUGCCCUUUUGUCCUAGGGGCAGGGAAAGCCAAAAUGUCUUUCACCGUCAAUUAAAGGUCCUUUAGAUAUCAUUUGUCCUAAAGAUUUCACAUUAGCCUUACAAAAUUGUAACUUUUCCUCACUUUGUCCCUUUCAGCUAGUUUUGAAGUACAGGCUGUCUUCCUAUUUAUCAAAGAAUUUGAACACAAUAGCAAAUCACCUGCACAUUGUAUCAAAACUGAUUUAUGAGGAAAAGCUAGAUCAUCUAGGUACGUUUUUAAUACCUGGGGAAAGUGAGUAUUGCCCUGCCGCGUUACAGUCCACGUAUGCUGCCGUUCAUCCCAAGUAAAGGCAAAGGGUACUGGCCACCAGGAUGCACAGGGAUGCUAAACAGUGCACUGCAGAGGCCACAGAAAAGAAGUCACUGUUCUUAGAACACAGGACGGAAAGGCAUGGGGGUUGGCACUACACAAAUGGCAAGGAGUAAUGAUGGCACUGCUAGAGCUCAAACCCUACACAAACCUCCAGCCCUUGCCAUUAGGUUUGCUAACUGGCAGAAUGAGUGUGUUACAAGGGCCGGUGCAAGGCAUGAAGCCUUUCUCAAUGUAAGCUGGUGUCAGGUGUUAUUCCCUCCGUGGCUUCCUGCCUCCAUUUGGGUACUGCGGGUACUGACGCAGUUCUUCUCGUCUCAGGUCCUUUUAACGGGCGGUGUGGAAUGUAUUUCCAUGUGUCAGUAACUCUUCAGGUACUAAGCCUAGCAAGUCUUCGUCAGCAUCACCUUGACCAUGGCUCACAAACAUUGUAUGAUGAAGGAAAUCAGCUCUAAAAACAUCUCCCCCUUAGGAGUAAGGAAAUAUGGGCUUCAAGCUUCUAAAUAUCCAUAAGCAUUCCACUCCAUCUGAUCUUAUGAACUGCUUUCGCUAGCUGCAUACACAAGAAAAUUUUGGAAUGUCAGAAGAACCCAAAUAUGGCCAUUUUAGGUUGUGAUCUCCUCCUUUAGUGUGGUUUCUCCAAUCAAGUGAGUAUUUGCAGCCUUGCACUAGGUCUCGGACAGCCACAACGGGAAAGACGCGACACUGGGCUGCAUCCAAGCAGAAGGGCAGACACCAGCACAGACCUCUGUGAGCACAUGAGCCCCACUUGCUCCAGCAAUCCCCUCCUUCGGAGCAACGGCCCCAAUGCAGAAAGAAGGAAAAAAACACUUCAAGGAACAGAGCCAUCCACUCCCUUCGAGAUCACAGCAGCACUAAUGCCAGUAACCAGUAUUGUGGAAAACAAUCGCCUGAAAUGAAGAGUCUUCGUAGAAGAUACAUCAUCCUGGUCUUAUAAACCAGAGAAGGAGAACAACACAUCUCCUUCUAAGACUCGAGGAGGUAGCUCCAGCUCCACCAUCAGCACCCAAAGCUAAAAUUCUACUUACACUAUUCCUUGAAACUUUUGUCAUGGGACAUUUACAAAAUUGAGUACUAUUUCAGUAUUAAAAUGACCUCAUUUUACAAUAAACUAGUGUGUACUUCGUGCAUAUCUGCAUC